rnacentral:rRNA from 2 species
UGGUGAUGAUGGCGAAGAGGUCACACCCGUUCCCAUGCCGAACACGGAAGUUAAGCUCUUCAGCGCCGAUGGUAGUCGGGGGGUUCCCCCUGUGAGAGUAGGACAUCGCCAGGCA